rnacentral:rRNA from 1 species
GACGAACGCUGGCGGCGUGCCUAAUACAUGCAAGUCGAACGAGUUGCGAACGGUUGAGUACUGCCUGGGAAUUGCCCGUUCGAGGGGGAUAACAGUUGGAAACGACUGCUAAUAACGCAUACGAUGCGCUUGCCCAGGUGGGAUUAGCUAGUGGGUGAGGUAAUGGCUCACCAAGGCGACGAUCCCUAGCUGGUCUGAGAGGAUGAUCAGCCACACUGGGACUGAGACACGGUCCAGACUCCUACGGGAGGCAGCAGUGGGGAAUAUUGCACAAUGGGGGAAAGCCUGAUGGAGCCAUGCCGCGUGUGUGAAGAAGGCCUUCGGGUUGUAAAGCACUUUCAGCGAGGAGGCGGUACCCAAAGAAGAAGCACCGGCUAACUCCGUGCCAGCAGCCGCGGUAAUAC